rnacentral:tRNA from 1 species
GGGCCUGUAGCGCAGUUGGGAGCGCGCAUCAAUCGCACUGAUGAGGUCAGGGGUUCGAAUCCCCUCAGGUCCACCA